CUGACGACACAACGCCUGGGCGGGUUUCUUCAGAAGAACGGAGCUUAUUGGCUCCUGGGAGACUGUCGGUCAUCGCUACGGGAGCGUUGAUAGGACAUUCUGUGGAAGGAGGCGGGAUGUUUUGGGCUUGCCUUAGAAGCUGUUGGAAAUCCGCGCUUGAGAUGCAAUAGAUAAGGCAGGGCCCAAAGCUGAUGGAUCAUCUGCUUCUCUGCUUGCCAAUUAAAUCUGUCAUCCGUGAGAUGAGUAACUGGAGUCCUCCCAUUUUAACAAUGACUUCUGGCAGAAGGUGAAGAAUGAACGCUAAGCCCUGAGCCCAUUUUAGCAUGGGCCUGACAGGGUCCUAUUAACACCUAUGAGCAAGGCUACUGGAAAUCUGCGGUGCAAGAGAAGAAGCGACCCGAUCCGGGAGAAUGUGGAUCAGUGACAACCCUGAGUCACAUGCUGACGAUGGAGGAGGACAGAACAUAGGUCGGCCGUGACGCUGCAGAGCUAUGGAAGCCUUGGCCUGCUGCAUUGGCUGAGCACAUCAGUAAUAAACCCGAGUCCAAUAAUGCAUUGGGGACACGAUUGGGAAAGAAAUCAAAGCCUUUCCCCUUGGUGACAUUUAACCCAGAGUGAGCCCAGACUCAAAUUCUCUGCUCGAUUCUUCCUGUGUGUCCUCUGUCUGUCCUGAGUGCUGUCCCGCGUCUGCUCCUGUGUGCUCCUAAUAAAGUGUUCUGCUCUUGCUUUCAUUGGCCAGCACAGAAAGCAUCAAAUAGGAAAGGAAUGGAGGGUACUUCAUAGAAGUCUUUUAAGAGUUUUACAAGAAUGAAGUCACCGACCCAGAUAGCAAAUGCUGCCAAGCACAUCCUCAUGCUGCCUCAGCGUUUACAGUGGAUAUUUGUUUCAUAAAGUUGCCUUUCGCCUA
rnacentral:sRNA from 1 species